UUUUUUUUUUUUUUUUUUUUUUUUUUUUUUGGUCUUUUUAGCUAUUUCUUGGGCCGCUCCCGCGGCAUAUGGAGGUUCCCAGGCUAGGGGUUGAAUCGGAGCUGUAGCCACCGGCCUACGCCAGAGCCACAGCAACUCAGGAUCCGAGCUGCAUCUGCAACCUACACCACAGCUCACGGCAAUGCCGGAUCGUUAACCCACUGAGCAAGGGCAGGGAUCGAACCCGCAACCUCAUGGUUCCUAGUCGGAUUCGUUAACCACUGCGCCACGACGGGAACUCCCUAAAAGUUUAAAUAGUUUGCUGUCCUGGACUGUACUGGAGUGCCCUUCUCUGUUUCACACUAACCUUCAGGAAAAGCCUGUUUCACAAAAAGUUUUGUUACUGGUACCUUGGGGAGCUUGUGAGAGAAGUGUCUGCAUGGGGCAAAAGGCGUUGCCCAGAGGACCACAACUGCAUGCCCAGGCCAUCCUACAGGGAUAGUCACGGUAGCAGAAACUGAGAGCAGCACAGAGGCAAUGCAAACCAUCCUCCUUUCCCCUCGGGAGCAUCCCAGGGUUUAUGUGAAGAUGCCCAAGUCUCUCAUCUGGCUGUUAGAGAAAAAGUGAUCUCAGAAAGGGGGAGCAAGGAGUUCCCACUAUGGUCCAGUAGCUUAAGAAUCUGACUACAGGAGUUACCAUCUUGGCUCAGUGGUAAUGAACCCGACUGGCAUCCAAGAUCACGCAGGUUCGAUCCCUGGCCUUGCUCCGUGGGUUAAGGAUCCAGCAUUGCCAUGAGCUGUGGUGUAAGUCACAGACAUGGCUUGGAUCCCACGUUGCUGUGGCUGUGGCGUAGGCUGGCAACUGCAGCUCUGAUUUGACCCCUGGCCUGAGAACUUCCAUAUGCUGCAGGUGUGGCCCUAAAAAGACAAAAAAAAAUAAAAAAUCCGACUGCAGUGGCUCCAACUGCGUGGUUUAAAGGAUCCUGGGUUGCCGCGGCCAUGGCACAGGUCACAGUUAUCACUCCGAUUCAAUCCCUGGCCCAAGGACUUCCAUGUGCCGCAAGUAUGGCCAUUAAAAAAAAUUUUUUUUAAGAAAAAAGAAAUAUGGAAUAUUUAAGAACAUUAAGGUUGCACAGAAGAAAAGUUUAGUUCCACUUGCGAAGUAUCAUUAAGUGCAUAAUGGGCAGCUUGGGGCCUCUGUUAGGACUUUCAGGAGUCUUUUCAUUCAGGGAAUGUGAAGACUCAGCAGGAAGAUUCCCUCCUGAGUUGAUCUAUGAGGUCAGCUGACUCCACAACAACACCUGGGAAAGCUGCCCGCCAGCCAGAGGCUGCUGGAUGCGCCCCAGGUCCAGGGAAACAUGUACAAACGGAAAGAGGUGAAAAAAGGUUCCUCUCACCAUCAGUGAUACCAGGGAAAGAGCUUUUCCCAAGACACAUGCUGUUCAGCUCACCAAAGCCAGACACACAUGGGGCGAGUGGUAUGGGAGCUUCUUUCCAGAUUUCCCUGGAAAGACUUUCGGGACCCAAUCUGCAGGGUCAAAGCUAGGGUGAGGCAAGAGAGGCAUGUGUCUCAAGUGCAGAAUUUAAGGGGGUGCCAAAAACUCAGCAAUCAAGACAAAUGAUAUUUUACAGUGAUGUUUUCUUUUAGAAAAAGAAACCUCUAUGAUGAACAAAAUACCAAACUUUUAAAUAAGACAGAAUCUGACUCUGCACUUGCAUAACACAUCAUUUGUCAUCUCGUGAUCCCAACCCUGCCAGGACUUGCCUUUACUUAAAAUGUUAGUAUUUUGUUCAUCGUGGAUUCUUUGAAUUAAUUUUAAUUUCAAAAAUAUUCCAUUAAAAUGGCAUUGAUCUUGAUUACUGUGGUUUUUGGCACAUCCUUAAAUUCUGCACUUGCCUCACUCUCAAACCAGCCCUGAACAUCAGUAAGAACCUCUUUAAAAUCCUUCCUUCCACACCCCCAUCCCACCAAAAGAAAUCUGCCAGCACACCAUGAUGAUAAGAAGGCAUUUUCAUAUAUAAAAAUAAAAAGCUUACUGGUGACAAUAAUACCAGCCAAAUAAAGAACUGGGGUAAGUUCCUGGCACAAUCCAUUUAGCAGUUUUAUAAGUAGGAAAUCUAACAGAUUUCUGGGUUCCAGAGUAAAAAUUCAUAAUUAAAAACGAUCCUAACACUUCUCGUUCAACAUAAAAGACGAAGGGUUGAGGCUGAGAAAUUCAAGAAAUUUGAGUAUGUUUCAUCCUGUUUCUUUUUUUUUUUUUUUUUUUUGUCUUUUUUGUUGUUGUUGUUGUUGUUAUUGUUGUUGUUGUUGUUAUUUCUUGGGCCGCUUCCGCGGCAUAUGGAGGUUCCCAGGCUAGGGGUUGAAUCAGAGCUGUAGCCACCAGCCUACGCCAGAGCCACAGCAAUGCAGGAUCCGAGCCGCGUCUGCAACCUACACCACAGCUCACGGCAACGCCGGAUCGUUAACCCACUGAGCAAGGGCAGGGACCGAACCCACAACCUCAUGGUUCCUAGUCGGAUUCGUUAACCACUGCGCCACGACGGGAACUCCUCAUCCUGUUUCUUAUAAUGCACAUUAAUGUAUGUGUUAUGUAUUCAAGGCUUCAGUUGGAUAGAUUAAUUAAAUCUCAGGUCAGAUACUUAGUGGUUGAGUGUGGUCAUCACGGGUGCCAUUCAUAAAAUAUUUAACCCUUUUAUUCAAUGCCACUGCCUGUGUAUAGAGGCAACAUGGCAUAACAAUAGAACUCUGGAUUGAGAAUCCCAAUUGUAUUACUCAUAUCACUAAAUGUCCUUGGGUCUCACUUUCGUCAUCUGUAAAAGGAUGUUACAACUUACCUUAAAUACCAUGUCACUUAAAAACAAACAAACAAACAAACACUUGGAGUUCCCAUUGUGGCACAGCAGAAAACAAUCCAACUAGGAACCAUGAGGUUGAGGGUUUGAUCCCUUACCUCUCUCAGUGGGUUAAGGAUCCGGCAUUGCCAUGAGCUGUGGUGUAGCUUGCAGACACAGCUCAGAUCCUGCACAGCUGUGGCUGUGGCCAGCAGCUGG
rnacentral:lncRNA from 1 species